rnacentral:ncRNA from 1 species
ACUGUGCGACUGACGGAAGUGGAGCACCACAUGGGAGCACAGUAGGAAAAGCCGACCGUCUGGGCAUC